GCUUACGGCCAUAUCACGUUGAAAGCACCGGUUCUCGUCUGAUCACCGAAGUUAAGCAACAUCGAGCCUAGUUAGUACUUAGAUGGGUGACCGCUUGGGAAACCUAGGUGCUGUAAGCA
rnacentral:rRNA from 1 species